rnacentral:lncRNA from 1 species
AUGGAAUCACCCAUGGGCUUCCUGAACGCUUUACCUGUUUCCAUCUCAGCCUGUCUCCUCCUCAUAUCUUCCUUCCUUCCUUCCUUCCCUCUUUCUCUCUCUCGGCCUUCAAAUCGCCUAUCCACUCAAUGUUGCACCCAUAUAAUGCAAUUUGAACAGCAUUAUGGUCCCAUCACACUAGAGCAUGGAUCCACUUUGAAUCCGGUUGCUGCCUCCUGUAGAAUUCUGCGGUUUGUAGUUUAUAGAGGGGCUUUUAAGCUGCUCUGCCAGAUAAAUCUUGAAUCUCACUAAAAUACAAACCACAGAAUUCUGCAAGAGGCAGCAACUGGGUUUAAAGUGGAUAGAUGCUCUAGUGUGAUGAGGAUCUACACCAGGCAUGGGCAAACUUAGGCCCUCCGGGUGUUUUGGACUUCAACUCCCACCAUUCCUAACAGCCUCAGGCCCCUUCAUUUUGCUUAAGCGGCCGAGGGGCAAAAGGAAAGGGCCUGAGGCUGUUAGGAAUGGUGGGAAUUGAAGUCCAAAACACCUUGACCCCCCCCACCCCGAAUUUUGCCCAUGUCUAGUCUACACUGACCACAUAACGCACUUCAAAUAUCAAAUUUCAAAUAUCCUGUUUAAGAAACUCCUAUGGAAUUCAAAGGGUCGUCCCAUCCAACUCCUAACCGGGGUCGACCCUGCUUAGCUUCCAUGAUCCUGCGGGAAUCUGUUGCCUGUGUAGGCUAUUUAUUUAUCUAUUGAUUUUAUUUAUUUUUAUGGACUUUUAUUUUCACCUGUUCCCACUUGCCUCUCAUUUUAUUGCUGUGGGAUAUUCUCUCGCCUUUCUCUUUUCAGCUUAUAUACAGGAGGAGAAGAGGUGUCAGAUCAGGUGACCCAUCCGCCCAGGCACCACGACAUCAUAAUUAAUAUAUAAGUAAAUAAAUAAAUGGCUCCAACCACGCCCCCUCCCCGCGUGAAGCUGACCCAGGGCAACCGACCUGUAAAGAGAUCUCAUUUCUCUCCUGCUUUCCAUCCAUCCAUCCUUCUUUCUCUCUCCUUUUUUUUUUUUUGCUGGAAAGUCCCAAGUCUUCCUUGCAUCGGGUUGCUGUGAGUUUUCGGGGUUUGUUCCAGAAGCAUUCUCUCCUGACGUUUCACCCACAUCUACCACAGGCAUCCUCAGAGGUUGUGACAUGUAUUGGAAACUAAGCAAGGGAGGUUUAUAUAUCUGUAGAAGGUCCAGGGUGGGAGAAAGAACUCUUGUCUGUUGGAGGUAAGUGUGAAUGCUGCUAUAUUAUUCGAGAAGACAGAAAUGCUGGACCACUCUAACAAUCACCAUGUCAGACUAUACAGAGAAGCCAUUAAAAUCCACAAGAAGGUGGACAAUUUCAACAGAAAGGAGGAAACUAUGAAAAUGAACAAAAUUGGCCACCAGUAUUAAAAAACUCAAGACAGUAAAUAAAGAACAACACUCUGAAAAGAAGGGAAUUCCAGACAUGAAUCAAUCAGGGCCAGCUAACACCUCCCAACCAAGGAUUCCCCCAGGCAGGAAUCAGCCAGGCUUUGAAGCUGCAAAGCUUUUCAAUGCUAAUCAAUGUGAUUCAUUGCUGCAUUCACACUUGUCUCCCUGAACUUUCCACAUAUAUAUAAACCCCACUUGCCUAGUUUCCAAUAGACCUCACAACCUGUGAGGAUGCCUUCCAUAUAUGUGGACGAAAUGUCAGGAGAGAAUUCUUCUGAAACAUGGCCAUACAGCCCGGAACUCUCACAGAAACCCAGUGAUUCCGGCCAUAUCUUCCUUGCAUCUUCCCUUCCCAAGUUUUUUGUGUGGGGGGCUUUCCAGGAGUAAGGGUCUUUUAGGGCUCCUUUUAGGACUCCCCUUCUUUUCCCUGGUGCUCCUUCUCCCAUCCACCUCCCAGGAGAGAUUCUCCUUGCCUUCCAACUUGGCAGCUCUUUCUGGCCAAUAAAUGCCCGGGUAAGCCUCUGAGCGCCCACUACUUACUUACUUUUCGGUCAGGAGGGUCCUGGGAAACGUCCGUGGCCUUCCUCCUCCUCUUCCUCCUUCUCAGUCUCUCCAAGCCGCUGGGUCUGGGUCGCCUGGGAGGUAGUCCCGGGCCAGCUGGGGGCAAAGAAGGCACCCAACUUUCCUCUCUCUUUCCUGGAAGGAGAUACAAGAGGUCCAUCCUGGGGUGGGGAGGAGGGAGGUCUGCGUGAUUCCAGAGCCCAGGAGCCUCGGCGUGGGCAGCCUUUUGCGGCGCCCCAGAAGGCCGGCCUUGGAGCGAAUCGCAGAUUGAGACAUAUCGGGAUCCCUAUAAAAGGGUCAUUUCAGGAGGGAGGUUGGACACCAAGUUUGGACUCGUGACUGGCAUUCCUGAGAGAGAGAGAUUGAGAGAGAAAGAGAGAGAGAGAGGCCUGCAUAUUUUAAAAAACAACAAAGCGAGCCCCCAAAGAAGGGCUUAAGGGGGAGAGAAGAGGGGAAAAGGCGCGCGCGGAAGGAGGACGGGGGUGGGGGGUAAAAAAAAGAGGAGAAGGGGGGCUGGUGGGGGAGAAGUUACUGAGUGACACACAUCUGUCCAAUUUGGACGCGUUACUUCGAGAAGAAACUGACCUCCUCCACAACCUCUCUCUCUAUAUAUGUGACAUUCGAGCAAGUUUAUAAAACAGGAUCUAAAGCCACAAUGGGAAAGACUGGACAGGUCUGGCAGGCCUCCGAAAUAACUCACACCUCCCUUUCACAUACACACCUCUUUUCUCCUCUUUUCCCAAGGUGUGUUUGAAUGGGGAAAUUAAAUAUUUCUCAACAGAGGAAGAAAAGGACCAAAAGAAAUCCAGGGAUAUUUUAAACCCUUCUUACAAUAACUCCUAAUCGCAGUGAGGGUCGGAUAUUUGUAUUUAUUAGAAUAUUCCCCCCCCCCCCCAUAGGACAAGAUCUCAGGGUAGCAUCCAAGAAAAAUCGAAGGCAGCCAAUUGCAACAUUCACGCCUGCUUCAAACAGGCAAGAGUUCUUUUUCCCACCCUGGACCUCCACAGGUAUAUAAACCCCACUUGCCUAGUUUCCAACAGGCCUCACAACCUUUGAGGAUACCUGCCAUAGAUGUAGGUGAAACAUCAGGAAAACAUGCUUCUGAAACAUGGCCAUACAGCCCUGAAAACCCAAAGCAACCCAGUGAUUCUGGCCAUGAAAGCCUUCCACAACACAAAGUAGCAGUAGUUGAGGUGACCAUUAACCCUGAAGAGGCCCCAAGCCAAA